rnacentral:rRNA from 1 species
GGCGAACGCUGGCGGCGUGCUUAACACAUGCAAGUCGAACGGAAAGGCCCUGCUUGCAGGGUACUCGAGUGGCGAACGGGUGAGUAACACGUGGGUGAUCUGCCCUGCACUUCGGGAUAAGCCUGGGAAACUGGGUCUAAUACCGGAUAGGAGCCAUUUUUAGUGUGAUGGUUGGAAAGUUUUUUCGGUGUAGGAUGAGCUCGCGGCCUAUCAGCUUGUUGGUGGGGUAAUGGCCUACCAAGGCGGCGACGGGUAGCCGGCCUGAGAGGGUGGACGGCCACAUUGGGACUGAGAUACGGCCCAGACUCCUACGGGAGGCAGCAGUGGGGAAGAUUGCACAAUGGGCGCAAGCCUGAUGCAGCGACGCCGCGUGGGGGAUGACGGCCUUCGGGUUGUAAACUCCUUUCGCUAGGGACGAAGCUUUUUGUGACGGUACCUAGAUAAGAAGCACCGGCUAACUACGUG